GGCUACAUCACAUGGAAACAUUGGUUCCCAUACGAUCACUGAAGUUAAGUAACAUUAAGGCUGGUCAGUACCUAGAUGGGUGACCACUUGGGAAUACCAGGUGCUGGAA